ACGUAGGUGGCAAGCGUUAUCCGGAAUUAUUGGGCGUAAGGCGCGCGCAGGCGGUUUCUUAAGUCUGAUGUGAAAGCCCACGGCUCAACCGUGGAGGGUCAUUGGAAACUGGGGAACUUGAGUGCAGAAGAGAAAAGCGGAAUUCCACGUGUAGCGGUGAAAUGCGUAGAGAUGUGGAGGAACACCAGUGGCGAAGGCGGCUCACUGGGACGUGACUGACGCUGAGACGCGAAAGCGUGGGGAGCAAACAGGA
rnacentral:rRNA from 1 species